AUCAGACUACAUAUUGAGUUCAAUCAUAAUCUUAGAUAAUUAAUUUAGCUCCCCAUCAAGUCACUCAUCAUCAUUAAAUUAAGUUUAAACAUUAAAAUCAAACUAAGAAAAUAAAAGAAUAACAAAAAGAUAAUAGAACACAAGAACUAUAAUCUUGAGAUUCCAAAUCUUCUUAAAUCCCUCAAAUUCUUCUCUGCUUAAAUGACUUUGUAGCUUGAUUCUCAGCUCUCAAUCUGGUGUUGCGUUGUUUUUUCUAAAAGUCCUCCGAAAGGUUGUUUUCAUAGGACUUUGAAGUUAGGUUAAGUUGGCUGAAGAAAGAAAUUAGUUCCAACUAAGAUUUCCUUAUUAGACUACGUAAGCUGUGGCCUACCUUUAACAAAGCCGCGGCCUCGACCAAUUAAUAAGUAGAAGUUGUAAUUGCUUUAGGACUACUACAUUGUUUUAAUUUUGAUAAGAUUUUUCACUAUCUUCUAGGCCAAACUGGACAAAGUGGUACACAUAAAAGUUGUAGAUUUGUCUCUUAAAUUUCCAAUGGUCAAAGAAUCAUCUUAUUUGGAGCUUUGUAGAAAGAGUUAUGGUCGAAAUACCAAAACUUGUAUAGUGGAAGUCUGCACCUUGAAAUUGCUCUCAUUUUUCCAUUAAAAUUCUUCCUUCAUUAAACACCUGUAAAAGCACACAUAGAUCAAUAACAAUGUAUCAUUAUCACAUUAACACCAAAUUAAGCAUAAAUUAAUUAAGAUUAGCUUGAUUCACCUAAAUUAAUUAACUUAAAAUAAUUUAAAUAAACUUACUAAUUUCUAUGUAUUAAUAAAAGAACUAAGCUAAAUUACUAUCAAAAUUAAGCCCAAAUAACUCUAUAUCAUAGAAUUAUCACACCCCCAAACUUAAUAUUUUGCUAUUCCUCGAGCAAAACAUAGAAAUGAAACUAAAUUAUGAAAAUCAAUUUCAAAUGGUGAAAACAAAAUAAAUGUAGUUACUACUAGAGAUAAAGUGCACCAACUCAAUGAUUCCCCAUAGUUUCCUGAAAAAUAUGUCUAUUAAUCUUUAACUUAAGGAAAAACGACAUCAUUCAAAUUCAUGUUUCAAUUCUAAUGCAAGCACAUUCUCAAAUGGAUUUCUGUGUGUGUGUAAAAUUUUUUUAUCAAGAAUAUCAUGAUAUUCGGAUGAGUUUAUGCCAACACAAAUUUCAAAUUACUAGAACUCCAUAGGUUCACUUUUCUUCUCUCUCUCCACUACUGUAGACUAACACCAAGCUAGGUCAAUAGAACUUUAUAAAGCUUGUAAUGUAUGGCUAGGGUCCGAGUAGGAUAAAGGAUAAUAAUGUGGCUCAAAUCACCCUAAGCACAUAAUUAUUGUAGGACCUAUGUAUAUAGUUCUAUUUUCCUUCUCCUCAUAGACCUUUUUUCUUCCACAUUUCAACUUUUCUUUUGUUCAACACAUUUUGUUUCCUUCAAAAUUUCACAAUUUCACACUUAUAAACUUAUUUUUUUGUAUUGUAGGUAGUUGGGUGAUUUUUAAUAUAUUUUUAACUCUUUUUUUCAUGUCAACAUCACAUUUUAACCUUUUUCAACAUUUAGCUCAUUCUAUAUUUCCUAAAACAAUAUACUUGCUUAGGAGUGAGGGUUGUAAAAUCAAAAAUUUUAUUUUAAAACUAGGCUCAAUUAUUUUAUAGUUAAACAAAGCAAUGAAAAAUUAGGCUCAACGAGGUAUACUAAGGAUAUAAAUAUAUUGAGGUUGGCUUUUUUAGGCUCAAAUUGUCUAAAGAUGGCCUAAAUCAUCUCCCUAACUAAGUAUUGCCUAGAAUUUCACCUCAAAGGAAAAUCAAGCAAAUUCUAGAAUUCUGGACAUAAUCUAAAAUUCUCAUCAAUAUAAACCUUCUCUAGAUAUUCACAAUAAUCCAAAGCAAAAAAUAUAAUGCUCAAAAUUGUGGAAGUUACAUCCUAACAAUGAUACUUAUUAAAAGAAUUUAGCAUGAAUCCAAAAAAAAACCUUAUUUACCAAAAGCUAAAAAUUCAAGACCACUAAUUAUCAUCAUUGGAUAGGGAAAUCAUCAAGCAAAAUUGGCACAACUUUACUCUAAAUUCCUAAAAUUGAAGCAAGUACUAAAUUAAAUUAUCAACUAAUCCUAAAUUAUUUAUGAAUCUAGAUAAGCAUGUGUUGUUGAUUUCUCACGCAAGUGCACCUAUCGUUAACAAGUAAUAUAGUAAUGAACAGAGUAUCAUUCCCACGGAGAAUUGUUUUAAUUCCUACUAUUAACUACUAAAAUUAACACACCCUAAUUUUAUUUAAACAAUCAAAUUUUAAAAUUAUUAAAAAAAAAUAAAACUACUAAAUUAAAACUUCAAUCAACUACUAGACCUAAGAUUAUGAUAUCCCUCAAUACUUCAUCUGAUUAUUAUCUCUCUCUCUUAACUUAGUUUAAUGGAUUAAAUUGUUAACCUAGAGUCCUAAAUUAUUUACAAGUCUCUGUUGAGUUUUUCAUAAAAAUACCUCACCCAAUUAAUUUACUAUAUGUCUAUGCAAAUUAAAUUGAAGAAAGAUUUAUUAAGUUUGUGCUUUAAUCCUAGCUACGUAUGGCUUAUAGGUGUAUGUCUACCCUAUAUGAAAAUCAAACCACCUAAUCAACUAAGUGUAUUCGAUCAUACACUAUUCUAUUCAAGGUCUACCUAAAUCUCUUUCAUCAAGGUUUAGCCUAAGUUUCCCAAUUCAAUCUAAUUGGUGAUCAAGCAAUUAGAAGUAUUAAGAACAUAAUAAAAUAAACAACAUAAAUCUAUCAAACAUAAUCAAAAGAGAGAUAAAUAAUUCAGAUUACAUAAUGAGUUCAAUCAUAAUCUUAGAUAAAAAAUUAAUUCCCCAUCAAGUCACACAUCAUCAUUGAAUAAAGUUUAAACAAUUAAAAAAAACUAAGAAAAUAAAAGAAUAAUCAAAAAGAAAAAACUCAACAAUUAUACUCUUGAUCGUCCAAGUCUACUUGAAUUCUUCAAAAUCUUCUCGGCUUCAAUGACUUUGCCGCUUGAUUCUCAAUUUUCAAUUUGGUGUUUUUCCUCCUUUUUAAGUCCUUCGAAAGGUUGUUUUUAUUGGCUUUGAAGUUAGCCCAAGUUGGGUGGAGAAAGAAGUCAAUUUCAGCUGGAAUUUCC
rnacentral:lncRNA from 1 species